rnacentral:rRNA from 1 species
ACCAAGCUUCCAGGAAAAGCCACUAAGCUUCAGUCUAGAGUUGACCGUACCGCAAACCGACACAGGUGGGCAGGAUGAAAAUUCUAAGGCGCUUGAGAGAACUCAGGAGAAGGAACUCGGCAAAUUAACACCGUAACUUCGGGAGGAGGUGUGCCCCGGUAGCGUGUAGAGACUUGUUCUCGAAGCGCGAUGGGGUUGCAGUGAAAUGGUGGCUGCGACUGUUUAAUAAAAACACAGCACUCUGCAAACACGAAAGUGGACGUAUAGGGUGUGACGCCUGCCCGGUGCCGGAAGGUUAAGUGAUGGGGUGCAAGCUCUUGAUCGAAGCCCCGGUAAACGGCGGCCGUAACAACAGCGGUCCUAAGGUAGCGAAAUUCCUUGUCGGGUAAGUUCCGACCUGCACGAAUGGCGUAACGAUGGCCACACUGUCUCCCCCUGGGACUCAGCGAAGUUGAAAUGUUUGUGAAGAUGCAAUCUACCCGCGGCUAGACGGAAAGACCCCAUGAACCUUUACUGUAGCUUUGCAUUGGACUUUGAACCGGUUUGUGUAGGAUAGGUGGGAGACUGUGAAGCCGGGACGCUAGUUUCGGUGGAGUCAACCUUGAAAUACCACCCUGAUUUGUUUGAGGUUCUAACCUUGGUCCGUGAAUCCGGAUCGGGGACCGUGCAUGGUAGGCAGUUUGACUGGGGCGGUCUCCUCCCAGAAGGUAACGGAGGAGUACGAAGGUACGCUUAGGGCGGUCGGACAUCGCCCACAAAGUGCAAUGGCAAAAGCGUGCUUGACUGCGAGACCCACAAGUCGAGCAGGUACGAAAGUAGGUCAUAGUGAUCCGGUGGUUCUGUAUGGAAGGGCCAUCGCUCAACGGAUAAAAGGUACUCUGGGGAUAACAGGCUAAUUCCUCCCAAGAGUUCAUAUCGACGGGGGAGUUUGGCACCUCGAUGUCGGCUCAUCACAUCCUGGGGCUGUAGUCGGUCCCAAGGGUAUGGCUGUUCGCCAUUUAAAGUGGUACGCGAGCUGGGUUUAAAACGUCGUGAGACAGUUUGGUCCCUAUCUGCCGUGGGCGCUGGAAAUUUGAAGGGGGCUGCUCCUAGUACGAGAGGACCGGAGUGGACGAACCUCUGGUGUACCGGUUAUGACGCCAGUCGUAUCGCCGGGUAGCUAAGUUCGGAAGAGAUAAACGCUGAAAGCAUCUAAGCGUGAAACUCGCCUUAAGAUAAGAUUUCCCGGAGUCUUGAACUCCCUGAAGGGUCGUCGAAGACCACGACGUUGAUAGGUCAGGUGUGGAAGCGCAGCAAUGCGUUAAGCUAACUGAUACUAAUUGCCCGUGCGGCUUGAUCCA